rnacentral:rRNA from 1 species
AGUGAACGCUGGCGGUAGGCCUAACACAUGCAAGUCGAACGGCAGCACAGUAAGAGCUUGCUCUUACGGGUGGCGAGUGGCGGACGGGUGAGGAAUACAUCGGAAUCUACUUUUUCGUGGGGGAUAACGUAGGGAAACUUACGCUAAUACCGCAUACGACCUACGGGUGAAAGCAGGGGAUCUUCGGACCUUGCGCGAUUGAAUGAGCCGAUGUCGGAUUAGCUAGUUGGCGGGGUAAAGGCCCACCAAGGCGACGAUCCGUAGCUGGUCUGAGAGGAUGAUCAGCCACACUGGAACUGAGACACGGUCCAGACUCCUACGGGAGGCAGCAGUGGGGAAUAUUGGACAAUUGGCGCAAGCCUGAUCCAGCCAUACCGCGUGGGUGAAGAAGGCCUUCGGGUUGUAAAGCCCUUUUGUUGGGAAAGAAAAGCAGCAGGUUAAUACCCCGCUGUUCUGACGGUACCCAAAGAAUAAGCACCGGCUAACUUCGCG